GACGAACGCUGGCGGCGUGCUUAACACAUGCAAGUCGAACGGAAAGGCCCUGCUUUUGUGGGGUGCUCGAGUGGCGAACGGGUGAGUAACACGUGAGUAACCUGCCCUUGACUUUGGGAUAACUUCAGGAAACUGGGGCUAAUACCGGAUAGGAGCUCCUGCUGCAUGGUGGGGGUUGGAAAGUUUCGGCGGUUGGGGAUGGACUCGCGGCGUAUUAGCUAGUUGGUGAGGUAGUGGCUUACCAAGGCUAUGACGGGUAGCCGGCCUGAGAGGGUGAUCGGCCACACUGGAACUGAGACACGGUCCAGACUCCUACGGGAGGCAGCAGUAGGGAAUCUUCCGCAAUGGGCGAAAGCCUGACGGAGCAACGCCGCGUGAGUGAUGAAGGUCUUCGGAUCGUAAAACUCUGUUAUUAGGGAAGAACAAAUGUGUAAGUAACUGUGCACGUCGUGACGGUACCUAAUCAGAAAGCCACGGCUAACUACGUG
rnacentral:rRNA from 1 species